rnacentral:rRNA from 1 species
GACGAACGCUGGCGGCGUGCUUAACACAUGCAAGUCGAACGGAAAGGCCCUGCUUUUGUGGGGUGCUCGAGUGGCGAACGGGUGAGUAACACGUGAGUAACCUGCCCUUGACUUUGGGAUAACUUCAGGAAACUGGGGCUAAUACCGGAUAGGAGCUCCUGCUGCAUGGUGGGGGUUGGAAAGUUUCGGCGGUUGGGGAUGGACUCGCGGCUUAUCAGCUUGUUGGUGGGGUAGUGGCUUACCAAGGCUUUGACGGGUAGCCGGCCUGAGAGGGUGACCGGCCACAUUGGGACUGAGAUACGGCCCAGACUCCUACGGGAGGCAGCAGUGGGGAAUAUUGCACAAUGGGCGGAAGCCUGAUGCAGCAACGCCGCGUGCGGGAUGACGGCCUUCGGGUGGUAAACCGCUUUCGCCUGUGACGAAGCGUGAGUGACGGUAAUGGGUAAAGAGGCACCGGCUAACUACGG